rnacentral:lncRNA from 1 species
GGGCGGGGGGAGGUGUGUUCAUUCACUGGCAUUAAAAUAAUUACUUUCCCCCAUCCUCUUCCUCCCUCUAGUAGUUCUCCAAUUAUCAGACUCUGAGUUUGGGGUUCUUUACUGCGUAUGAAUGAAUGAUAAAAGCACAGUGACUAAAUUAGAGUGCUAAUGAUUUUGGCCUCAUUGGCAAGGUGCCUCUAACGUGGUCACCUAAGCAGCCAUGGUGACUGAGUAUCUUUUCUGUAGCCCAAGAAGAGCCUGGGGGUAUGCUCACCAGGCCUACACAGUUAUAAUGCUCUUAUGGUUAGCAAGCCCCCAAAUGUCUGGAUUGUUCAAUCUAUGGGAAAUACUGGAAAAUGAAGUCCUAGACUUCAAAAAUAUGAUAGAAGUAGCCCAUUUCAGAGUCCAUUCCUUUCUUGUUAUGUAUCUUGGAAAUAGCUAUUUUCCUUACUCCCUUUUUUGGUUUUCUGGGACCUGGAAGGAUUAUAGAGGGGAUAUCCUUGGAAUCUUUAUUCUGUUCCAGUCUGACCAAUUCACAUACAGAGGCACAGUAUUAAAUGCUUCUUCUUAUACUGACACCCUCAAAGGGUGGUGGUAUAGGGGCCACUCCUAGGGAGCAGUUAGUCUUCUGCAUUUUCUAAGCACUUGGCAGAAGAGAAACUUGGGUUGAGACCAUUUAUUUUUUAUUUUUAUUUAUUAUUAUUAUUUUUUGAGACCAUUUUUGAUUCACUAUACCUUUUUAUGCUCCAGGUUUUCCUCAGGAAGAGAUCUAGCUUGGAAUGGUGUAGAGAUGGUGAAAAUAUUCUUCCUAGAAAGUACUUAAACUAUUGUUUGUUUGUUUUUUUGGCUCCUCUAGAAUUCAUUACUGACCUAGACUUGAUCACUGACCUUGAGUUGCUUAAUGAACUUGAGUUGAUUAAUGCCUUUGAGUUGACCGCUGGACUAGAGUCCACUGCUGACCUAGAGUCGACCACCCAAGAGUCCCCUACCCACCUGGAGUUGUCCACCACCACAGAGUCCACCAUGACUCCGGGGUCCCCCACCAACCUCGAGCCCACUGCCACCCUGGAGUCUACCGCCGACCAGGAGUCCACAGCAACCCCAGAGUCCCCCACUGACCUGGUGUCUACUGCCACCCCAGAGUCCACUGCCACUCCAGAAUCCCCCACCAACCUGGAGUCCACCACCACUCUAGAGUCUACCGCUGACCAGGAGUCCACAAUGACCCCAGAGUCCCCCACUGACUUGGAGUCCACUGCCACCCCGGAGUCCUCCACCAACCUGCAGUCCACCGCCACCCCAGAGUCCAUCACCGACCUGGAGUCCACUACCACCACUCCAGAGACCCCGGCCAACCUGGAGUCCACCGCUAUCCCAGAGUCCGCCACUGACCUGGAGUCAACCACUAACCUAGUCUCCAUUAGUGAUGUAGAAUCUACCACAGAUGUGCAUUUUGAGAAUGCACAAACUUUCGAAUUAUCUACUGAGGUGGAAUCAAACAUUCAUAGCUUUGAGGAAGCAACCACUAAAGCCACUGAAAGUCUCACUGCUGCUCAUUCAGAAGAGCCCAUCACUAGAGGACCAGAAGAGCCUGGAACUUCUGUGGGAAGCAACGAGUCCAUCUCAGUACUUUUUUGUAAGUUUCUGCUCUCUUACCCUGAUUCCUUAACAGGGGUUUGA